rnacentral:rRNA from 1 species
UGAUGGCGAAGGCAGCCUCCCUGGGAUAACAUGACGCUCAUGCACGAAAGCGUGGGGAGCAAAACAGGAUUUAGAUACCCUGGUAGUCCACGCCCUAAACGAUGUCAACUAGCUGUUGGGACCUUCGGGUCUUGGUAGCGCAGCUAACGCGUGAAGUUGACCGCCUGGGGAGUACGGUCGCAAGAUUAAAACUCAAAGGAAUUGACGGGGACCCGCACAAGCGGUGGAUGAUGUGGAUUAAUUCGAUGCAACGCGAAAAACCUUACCUACCCUUGACAUGUCUGGAAUCCCGAAGAGAUUUGGGAGUGCUCGCAAGAGAACCGGAACACAGGUGCUGCAUGGCUGUCGUCAGCUCGUGUCGUGAGAUGUUGGGUUAAGUCCCGCAACGAGCGCAACCCUUGUCAUUAGUUGCUACGAAAGGGCACUCUAAUGAGACUGCCGGUGACAAACCGGAGGAAGGUGGGGAUGACGUCAAGUCCUCAUGGCCCUUAUGGGUAGGGCUUCACACGUCAUACAAUGGUCGGGACAGAGGGUCGCCAACCCGCGAGGGGGAGCCAAUCCCAGAAACCCGAUCGUAGUCCGGAUCGCAGUCUGCAACUCGACUGCGUGAAGUCGGAAUCGCUAGUAAUCGCGGAUCAGCAUGUCGCGGUGAAUACGUUCCCGGGUCUUGUACACACCGCCCGUCACACCAUGGGAGUGGGUUUUACCAGAAGUAGUUAGCCUAACCGCAAGGAGGGCGAUACCACGGUAUGAUUUAACGU